UCAUGAUGUGCCCAGAUUAUAAAAUACUCAUAACAUUUUAGAUCUGGGAGGAACUUGAGAGAUUUUCUGAUUUAAGAUUUUCCAUUUUAGUUGCAGGAAUUGUGUUCAAAAAAGGAUGAGUGACCUACCGAGACCACACAGGGAAUUGACAGCAGUACCGGAACCAAAGGACAUCCCUCCUGUGCUCACAUUGAGGUCACAUCAUGUGAGAUGGCACUGGGAUGCUCCCUACUGUCCACUUGACAGGUUUGUGUCCCAUGUAGGAGACCAUGUCCUACCAAAGGAUCCUAUGGAAGGAGUGGAAAGAAGAGGAAGAGAUGAGAAGCUGGGCAAUGAACGGGCUUCAGAGGAAUAACUCAUUUUAACAUCUUACAUAAGAAGCUUAUAAGUACACCAGAAUACUAAUAUGCCAAUUUAUAGUGAGAAAUGUAAUGUAUCAAGUGGGUUAUGAAAUACUGUUUAUUGGCCAAUGCAUUUGUCUUCCAUUGACAAAUCCAUACCAGAAACAAGGUCAUAAUAAUUAUUUUUUAAAUGAGGAUUGAGCUAGAGCAGAACAAAUUAAUCAUAUCAAAAUAAGAUGUGAUUGAGAUACAGUGGAUACAGUGGAUUAUUUGUGCCCAUUUCUACCACAUGGACAGAUUUACUGCCAUAGAAGAAGUAUUUAUUUUCAUAGAAUGUGAUAUUCUAUCUCCUGUACAGUGUUGAAAGCAGAUAGGAACAUUUGUAUUAGUGGCUUUUCCUUCAGUAGGAUUUCUACUGUUAUAGUCAACAUCACUCCUCAGACUGGAGGUGGCUGGUGCAUGUUAACACAACCUCAUCAUUUAUAAGUCAUACAGCCUUGUAGAAAUGCACAUUUUAGAAGUCAAUGCACUUUAGUAGAUAUUCUAAAUGCAGAAAUAAUUAAUAAUAAUAAUAAUAAUAAUAGGUGAUAUAGUAUCAUAUGUUAGGUACAGUGCAAUUUCUUUACAUUCACCCUUAAUUCUUAUAAAUUCUUUAAAUAGUUGGUAAAUUAGUUAUUAUCAUGGCCCUCUCAUGUUUCCAGGUAAGGAAACAUGCUAAGAGAGUCAGCAAACGUCUUGAUCUCCCAAUCACCCGGAGAUGGAGGCUGCUUGUGAAUCCAAGCUGGCUUGCUCUGACUCUCCACAAUAGACCCGUCCUCUUUUCUCUAUGGCUUCUGUCUGUGUUCUUUGUAUUGCUAUAAAAGAUAAAAUAAGAGCAGUGAAGCAGAGGCUUUUUUUAAGUUUAAAAUCACUAGUCAGUACCAGAAUUAUUUGUUUCAUUAAUACAAACUAUUUUUGUUUAGUAUCACCCAACUCCCAAGACAAGUUGGAAGAGCUGUCUCUUUCCUGGUCUAGUCAAUGCAGCUCUACUAUUAUGUAAUCUUAACUCCCAGGAAGUGAUCAUUUCAGCCUCCUGCAAAGUGGCAACAGAUUACAUUCAUUAGUACAUUCUCCUCAAGUCAGCUUCUAUCUUCCUGAGAGACUGCAGUCAGGUGGGUGGUAGUUGACCUACCUUCUUUGAAAUCAUCUCAUGAUUGGCAGGUCAGGAAGAUGCCUGGUGUGCAGCUCACUAGGUUCCCAGAAUAGCUGCCUUCAGGAGGGAGGUUUUUUUUUUUUUUUUCCUCCUCUUCUUUUUUGGAUACUCAUGGCUUCCUUCCAUUUCAGAAUCAGAGCAAAGCACUGCUACUUCAUUAGUGUCACAAGCAGCUAUCUGUUUAACGCUUUCAGAGUUUCCUUGGGAAAUGCACUUAACACAGACCAGUAGCCCUUUUUUAAUCUUACAACUCUAUUUUAUUAAGCAACCUGAUUGGAUACAUAGAAUAAAGUCUUUGAAUCUUUUCUAACUGUGAGCUAU
rnacentral:lncRNA from 12 species